AUGGAGCGCUCCCUGGGCUCCCGCUGCCACCGCCGCCGCUGCGCCCCGGCCGUGCUCCGCGAGGACCCGGCGUCUCUGCGCGCCCGCCCGCGCCUCGUUGCUGGGCUCAGCGUACCGGGCGCCCCGCCGCCGCCGCCGCCCCGCUCCGAGCCUCGCCGCCCCGGCCAGUGUUUCCUCCCGGAGCAGCCGCCGCGAGCCCAGGGGCUCGCCCUCGAAGGCAGCAGCGGCCGGCGCCUUCGACUGAGGAGGAGGAGAAGGAGGAAUCGCGCCGGGUGGAGCGUCAGGUCCCGUUUUCCUCCCCGGCGUCUUGAAUACAAAGAUUACGGUGCAGAAGGAAAUUGCACUCGCCUCCUCCGCCCCCCGGUACCCAACACAAUGCACCAGCCGCCUGAGUCCACGGCCGCCGCGGCCGCUGCAGACAUUAGUGCGAGGAAGAUGGCGCACCCGGCAAUGUUCCCUAGAAGGGGCAGCGCUAGUGGCAGCGCCUCUGCUCUCAGUGCAGCAGGUACCGGCGUUGGCAGUAAUGCCACAUCUUCCGAGGAUUUUCCGCCUCCAUCGCUGCUCCAGCCGCCACCUCCUGCAGCAUCUUCUACGUCGGGACCACAGCCUCCGCCUCCACAAAGCCUGAACCUCCUUUCGCAGGCUCAGCUGCAGGCACAGCCUCUUGCGCCAGGCGGAACUCAAAUGAAAAAGAAAAGUGGCUUCCAGAUAACUAGCGUUACCCCGGCUCAGAUCUCCGCCAGCAUCAGCUCCAACAACAGUAUAGCAGAGGACACUGAGAGCUAUGAUGAUUUGGAUGAAUCUCACACGGAAGAUCUGUCUUCUUCCGAGAUCCUUGAUGUGUCACUUUCCAGGGCUACUGACUUAGGGGAGCCUGAACGCAGCUCCUCAGAAGAGACUCUAAAUAACUUCCAGGAAGCUGAGACACCUGGGGCAGUCUCUCCCAACCAGCCCCACCUUCCUCAGCCUCAUUUGCCUCACCUUCCACAACAGAAUGUUGUGAUCAAUGGGAAUGCUCAUCCACACCACCUCCAUCACCACCAUCACAUUCAUCAUGGGCACCACCUCCACCAUGGGCACCACCAUCCAUCCCAUGCUGGUGUGGCCACUACAUCCAUUCCUGGAGGGCCACCCUCAAGCCCAAUAUCCAGAAAACUCUCUACAACUGGAAGCUCUGACAGUGUUAUACCAGCUGCACCAACUUCUGCUGUAUCAUCGGGUGGCUCACCUGCAUCUGUAAUGACUAAUAUCCGUGCUCCCAGUACUACCGGCAGUAUAGGUAUAAAUUCUGUUACUGGCACUAAUACAGUGAAUAAUGUAAACAUUACUGCUGUGGGUACUUUUAAUCCUAAUGUGACAAGCAGCAUGCUUGGUAAUGCUAAUAUAAAUGCAAGCAAUAUUCCUAGUGCUGCUAGUGUGAGUGUUGGGCCUGGAGUUAGCAGCGGUGUUAAUGUGAAUAUCUUGAGUGGCAUGGGCAAUGGUACUAUUUCUUCCUCUGCUAUUAUUAACAGUGUCCCUAAUGCAGCUGCAGGGAUGACUGUGGGAUCAGUUUCAAGUCAGCAACAACAACCAACAGUUAAUACGUCAAGGUUCAGAGUUGUGAAGUUAGAUUCUAGUUCUGAACCCUUUAAAAAGGGUAGAUGGACUUGCACUGAGUUCUAUGAAAAAGAAAAUGCUUUACCUGCUACAGAAGGUGUGAUAAAUAAAGUGGUAGAAACUGUAAAACAGAACCCAAUAGAAGUGACUUCUGAGAGGGAGAGCACUAGUGGGAGUUCAGUGAGCAGUAGUGUCAGCACACUGAGUCACUACACAGAGAGUGUGGGAAGUGGAGAGAUGGGAGCCCCUACUGUGGGGCAGCAGCAGCAACCAACUCUUCAAGGUGUGGCCCUUCAACAGAUGGAUUUCAGUAGCACUGGUCCACAGAGUAUUCCUGCAGUUAGUAUACCACAGAGUAUUUCUCAGUCACAGAUCUCACAAGGACAAUUACCGUCUCAAGAACUGAGCUAUCAGCAAAAGCAAGGUCUUCAGCCAGUACCUCUGCAAGCCACUAUCAGUGCUGCAACUGGUAUCCAGCCAUCACCUGUUAAUGUCGUUGGUGUAACUUCAGCUUUAGGUCAGCAGCCUUCCAUUUCCAGUUUGGCUCAACCCCAACUGCCAUAUUCUCAGACGACUCCUCCACUGCAAGCUCCCCUCCCAGGGGCACCACCCCAACAGUUACAAUAUGGACAACAGCAACCCACUGUUUCUCCACAGAUGGCCCCAGGCCGUGGUAAAUCAGUGACUCAAAAUCCUACUUCAGAGUAUGUACAGCAGCAGCCGAUUCUUCAAACAGCAGUGUCCUCCGGACAGCCCAGUUCUGCAGGAGUGGGAGCAGGAACAACGGUAAUUCCUAUGGCUCAGCCACAGAGUAUCCAGCUGCCAGUGCAGCCCACAGCAGUCCAAGCACAACCUGCAGGGGCAUCUGGCCAGGCUGUUGGCCAGGCUCAAACAGCAGUAUCUGCUGUACCUUCCGGCAGUCAAAUUGCAAAUAUUGGCCAACAAGCAAGCAUCCCUACGGCAGUGAAGCAACCCCCUACUCAAGUCACACCUUCAGUUAUUCAGCAAGGUGCUCCUCCAUCUUCACAAAUAGUUCCACCUGCUCAAACUGCGAGUCUUCAUCAGGGAGUUCAAACUAGUGCUUCAAGCCUUCCUCAACAAUUGGUCAUUGCACCCCAGAGUACCUUGUUAACUGUGCCUCCCCAGCCACAAGGAGUAGAAUCAGUAGCUCAAGGAGUUGUUUCUCAGCAGUUGCCUGCAGUUAGUCCUUUGCCCUCUGCUAGUAGCAUUUCUGUUACAAAUCAGGUUAGUUCAGCUGGUCUUUCUGGAAUGCCUUCUGCCCCAACAAACUUGGUUCCACCACAGAAUAUAGCACAAACCCCUGCCACUCAAAAUGGUAAUUUGGUUCAAAGUGUUAGUCAACCUCCCUUGAUAGCAUCUAAUAUAAAUUUGCCUUUGCCACAGCAGAUACCACUAAGUUCUACUCAGUUCUCUGCACAAUCAUUAGCUCAGGCAAUUGGAAGCCAAAUUGAAGAUGCCAGGCGCCCAGCAGAACCCUCCUUAGUUGGCUUACCUCAGACUAUCAGUGGUGACAGUGGGGGAAUGUCAGCAGUUUCAGAUGGGAGUAGCGGCAGCCUAGCAGCCUCUGCUUCUCUUUUCCCGUUGAAGGUGCUACCGCUGACGACACCCCUGGUGGAUGGCGAGGAUGAGAGCUAUUGCUCUGUUUCCAAACUGGCCGGCAGAGCCAGGAGGAAGUGAAGGCAUUAAAAACUAACUUUGGUUGGUUGCUACCUUCUUAGUGCUGAGACUAUAACCUUUGUUGGUUGAUUGCUAGAGAACAAGAGAGCACAAUCCUCGUUCCACUCACAGCUCUCUAUUUCAGUGCUUCUCUCCUACCAGAGGUGCAAGGAGUGAUCCUAGAACCACAGAUACAGCCAAGACCACGGAGAGCUUUUGACGUCAGGGGUCCACUUUCUCCACUGAACCCUUGGAGGCAGAAUAUCCAGCUUCUGGAGAGAGUGGGAAAGGAUAAGAAACAAGUGGGUGCUUUCCAUUAUUUACUUGGGUUUAUUUAUAGAUUGGAGUGUCCUUCCAUUGCCCAUUUAAUUCUAUUGGUAAACUCCUUGGGUUCAUAUAAGAACCAAGUGGGGCUGCAAUCUGUUUGUUUUUCUAAGAUGCUAACUAGUGCCCAUUCAAAAAAAAAAGACUAAGAAUUUCUUUAAUUUUCUCUCCAGAUAAUUAAAGCAGUGGAUGAUUUGGGGCACUUGAUUUGGUGAAUGCCUGUGUAGUCCACAGGAAUUAUACAAAGGGACUAUUUGCCCGUUUUAGCCUUUAAUGGUGUUAGUGGACUUUUAAGUGCUCUUUUAUAAUCCAGUAAGUAAGAAGUUUCUGUAUUUCAUCUUUGGGCCAACUGGACAUCUGAAUUCUCCUAAAUUACACAGUCUGAUGUCCAGGUGUUAUCCUACCCUAUUAGUGAGAACUUUUUGUUCUUUUUUCUACCUCAAACUUUAGGACUUCAUAUUAAUUAGAUCUUUUAGAAGAUGCAAUGAUAAUACCAUUAUGGUUUUACUAGGCUUCAUUCUUUAAUAAGAUAAAUAUGAAUGAAUAUGAGUUUCAGGAUAUAAUAUCCCUGAAAGUUAUGUUAAAUAUACUCACAAAUAGUUUUCCAGUCCCUAGGAAUAAUAUUAUUUGUGGCAAAAGAGCCAUGUCCUAGAUUUUUCCCAUGGCAUUAAGAUAGUUAUCUCUUAGUUUGUUUGAUGCCAGGGGUAGGGUGUGAUUCCAGGAAGUUCUUAUCAUCUACAGUGGGUAGAACGUGAACUUGGUGCCUUUGGCAAGUUUUCAUUUUUCCUUGGUGGAUUCCUUCUGUGACUCCAGGUAUCUUGAUAAUGGGAGACCGGUUUAUUUGUUCUCUAAUUGCCCAGAUUUCUUUCAACUGGUAAACAUCAUACUUCUUCAGCAAAAGGAACUCUUCUAGCAGAGCCUUCAUGGAUGAUAUCUGUCACACAUGCAGCACCUCCAGUUUGGAAGGCAGUGGUGAACGGAGCCAUGCAAUGUAUCUAGAAGACACCAGGAUGAGAGAGCCACCUGAUCUUGUCAUUUAUAAACUUUAAGAUUUACUCUGGUGUACUCUUGGUCUGGAAACGGAAAGGCUCAAAUAAUGAAAUAAUUUUUUCAGAUUGGAAUUUUACGUGGCCAUGAAAAUAUUCCUUUCUAUUCAGAAGACUGAAAUAGAGAAAGCACGAGAGACUCCUUUCUUUUAAAAGCAGCUCUCUGUAUCUGUUUCAUUUAAAAGAUUUGUGGGAUUGAAAAUCACCUUAGUGAAGCAGGCAAAUUUUUUUUAAAAGCGUAGGAGAUUCAAAAAUCUUAAUGAAACUGUUUUUUGUUGCUUGACACUGAAAGGAACUAGUAAAUAAAGGGUAAACUUCUUAAUUAUUCCCAAAUUACUUUUAAUAGUAGGACACACUCUUAGCUUAUCUUUUUCUGGUCUUGAGCCUUAUUCUUAUUUGUCAAUCAACACAGAUUCCAGUAGAGAAGUAGAAGAGACAUCUUUUGAGAUCAUAAUAGCUUAGUUGGUCUUCUAAAGUAGUAAAUACCUGUUAAGCUUGAGGUAUUGUUUUGCAUUGAAGGCGUACUCAAGUUUGAAGGAUACUGAAGGAGGGCUAUUUGAGAGAGCAAAGGCAAUUGGUAGUAUUAGAAUAAGCCUCUAGGUGUCAGUAAGUUGCAAAACAGUUAUCCAGACUAUCAAUUAAUUGAUGCAAUUAGUUAUCAAAAUGUUUCUGUUUCUCUCUUUGAUAUCUAUUAACUGGUCAGUCAAAAGCUAUUAAAGAAGUUUUUAAGUUACCUGAUGCUGCCAGUUUUAUUUGGUAUAAGUUUUAAGAAUAGAAAUUCCAGAGUUAUUAAUAUGAAAGCACUUAAAAUAUUUUAGGAAUCUUAAAGGUUUUAGAAAGCACAUUUGCUAAGUUAUAACCUGGCCUUUAAUCUUUCUUGGCUAUAUGUGGGACCUAUAUUUUCCUCAUUAAUUAUAAAUAAAUUUUUGUAUGUAUAAUACUUAAAAGUAAGUUUAAAAGAUCAGUUUGAACUAAAAUUUCCCUAGAGAGCUCUGCAUUCCCAUAAACGAUUACAGCUUUUUAUGCUUGAUUUGUUUUUGUUAAAUGUUAUAAGACAGUUUUUACAAACACAUAUAAAUUAAAAAAUAACCACUUGACAUUUUAGAACUCAGGGGAACUGAAAGUGAAAUUUGUUUGGAAAUUAUAUUAGGUGAACUCUUUGAACCAAAGUAUAAACCAGUUUAUGGCCUGUGAGGUUAUUAGCCUUUUGUUUCAGCUUUGAAGAUGAAAGUGAUUUAAUCUCUUAAUCUCAUGCUUUGAUUAAAUUUUAGCUCUGUUCCUUAAAGUGUGCAAAAGAAAUGUAAGUGCAUUUCUAUUCACCUCAUGCCACUAAAAGCUAUUUAAAAGUGAAACUUUUUGUAUAUUAAUGUGAACUGAUUUGUUUAUUUAAACUUUUAUUUUGAUACAUUUUCCUUUCAGAUUUUUUAAUAUUUCGUGUCACAAUAUGCAAUCUUAUAUUUUCCAGUGUUUAUUUUAUGAAUAUUAAUAUAAGAUAAUUUUUUUCUAGAAUGACUAUAAUUGUGUAAUAUUUGUAUUAUGUGAUCUUUUGAAAACUAAUAAAUAUUUUCUCCAUGAAAAAAAUGCACUUACUGAUAAAUGGCUUAUUUUUGUUUCAGGAGUAGCAAAUGAAAACUGCAACAUUAUUUUUAAGUGUAUUUUAAUUUUAUGUGUCUUCUAAAUAUUUCUGAAUAUAUAUUCUAUCCUUGUAUAUGUUAAUAUUUUUUGAGAAAAAAAAUUUUAAACUGUUAAGUUAAAAUUAAUUCUUCACUGGGUCAUCCAAGUGCCAAGUGUUAUGAAAUAAGUGAUCUAUUUGGUCUAUUUUUGCGUUUUCCUAAUUAGCUUCACCUUAACUUUGUUUCCAGAAUUGGAUUUUUUUUAGAUGCUGUUUUUGUAUGUCAAUUUUGCGAACCAUUAAAACUCUUGAGUUAAUAUUGUAAAUAUCAGGAGUAAUAUGGUCAAAUCUUUUGAAGAGAGAUUGAUCAAAAUAUAACCCCUUACAAAAUAGCAUACAAAAGACAGUUCCUCUACUCAGAAAAAGAAGAUUUGAAAAUAGUGACUGGCUGGAAAACUGCCCAAUUCAUAAGAGCUAACAGGAGAAGAAAAAUGUUUUAUAUUUUAGUAUUCUGCUUGAACAAAUAGUUGUAGAAGGAGAAAUCUUGACUUAAGCAUCUCUUGCUUUUAACUUUAUCAAAACAACAUGGAAAAGGAUAAAAUUUGGUUUUAAUGAUUCUUAUCUUGAUAGCUACAUAAGCUUAAUUGAAGCCAGUGGAGUAAUUUACCUUUUCUAUGUAGAGUCUGCUAGAAGCAAGAGGAUUUCUCUUUUGAUUUGAAGAAAAUUUAACUAAGAAGUGGACUCCAGAAAUUAAAAAUAAAUAUUAUGAUGGGGUCCUAGGCAAGAAAUAAAAGUUGAAUUGAUGAUAACUUGUGGAUUAAAAUGAAAUAAUUUGGUUCCUCAAAGAAAUUAAUACUCUGAAAAAAUAAGAAUUAUGAAAGGAAAUUGUAGUUUAGAAUAGCUGUUGUAUUUGUAGGGUGGGAAAGAAAGCUAAAAUUCAUGGCUUUAUUAGUCUGGUAAGUUUGGAAAAGAUGAGUUAAAGAUUCUGUGUAUUAAAUUUUUUAUAGAAUUAAAGCCAUUAAAGGUUUACAGAUAUAAUAUAUUUCAAUGGAAGGCUUUAUUUUACUUGAAUAUAGAAAAUUUAUAAGCCUUAACUAUAUGUGUGUAAAAGGAUGGGGUGUGGGGGGUUAAAUAAAAAUCCUGCACUGGAAACUUUGAACAUAUUGUAAAAAUAAUGGUGAAAUGAGAAUUUUAAAUAAUUUAAUUAAUUUUUAUUGCAUGGACUUUUUUCCUACACCAUCAAUAGCGUCAAAAUAAAAAUAUUACAGAAUGUUGAACAUGGCUUACCUUUAUAUUUGAGGUAUAAGAACAUAGUUUCUAUUUUAAAAAAGUAAAUGUUACAUAAGCAGUGUGACUGCAAAGUACUGACCUUCUUAUAGCUUAUAAAUGUGUGCACAGAUCUGAUUUUACUUUGCUGUACUGAAGCAACUGAGCAAAAUGUCAGUGCUUAGAUAUCCUAAGCAAUUUCUGGCUUUCUUUUUAUUCAGGCAUUUUUAUUUCCCAUUAAAAAGAUUUUAUCUUAAUUUAGUCCUAAAAUGUGAAAGAUUUGUGUUUCCAAAAAUAAGCACAAAGGUGCUCUAAAGUGUUUUUCCACUAGUAUGUGCGUCUAAGGUCAUUCAAUGACUGCAAUAAGAAAUGUUAGGGCCCUUUGACGUAUGCAUCGGAGUUUUGAGGAAUUAGGAUCAAAGGGAUCUCUACUUUAAGAGGUAAGGUAUGGCAUAGGUAGGAAAAUGUUCAAAAUGUGUUCCGUGUAAUGUCUGAUGAUAAAUUGAACUGUAAUAGAUAUCCUUGGAUUUUCAGACAGAUGGUAGAAUUAGGAAAAUAAUUUUUCUUAGAAAUCUCUCCCAGAGAAGAGAAGUGGAUAAACCACAAAUUUGUUUUUGUAUGACUUUGGAAUGCGUUUAGAAACAUAUAUCCAGACAUUGUACCCUUUGUGUACUUGGCCUCUUAUAUUCCAAGGCAUCUCCCACCCCUGCUCUCUUAGUGUUUGUGAUCCGUAUUUAAUUUAGUAUUUCUUAACCCUGAGCACUAUUAAA